rfam:Oryza glumipatula chromosome 8, whole genome shotgun sequence.
AAUAAAUGCAAUUUUGCACUGUUCACCUCCAAAGUUUGACCGUUCGUUUUAUGAUUAGUAUUUUUAUUGUCAUUAGAUGAUAAAAUAUGAAUAGUACUUUAUGUGUGACUAAUUAUUUUUUUAUUUUUUCAUAAAUUUUUUAAAUAAGACGGACGGUCAAACGUUGGAUACGGAUAUCCACGGCUGCGCUUAUU